UACAUCCUAUCUCAGAUCUCCAAACAAACGCACCCUAAGCCGCUGCCUUGCCGUCACCUCAGCUCGGUCCGGCCACCCUGCCCUCGAGGAUUCACUUGGAGCGAACCGUCAUGGGGUUCGCGGGCUGGUACCUGAAGAUCGCGGCGGUCGGGGCCUCCAUAGGUGCCGCCAUGGAGCUCUUCAUGGUCCACACCGGCUUCUAUGAGAAGGUGACCGUCUUUCGUUUCAAAAAAAAUAAAAAAUAAAAAAUUCGUUUCAAAAAAAGAAGGUGACCGUCUUGGAGUCUGAAAAACGAGCUUGGGAAAGCAGUCCAGAGGCCCAGGCAAUGAGAGAAGUCCUGAAUCCAUGGCGCAAGCAUGAUGAACAACAGAAGAAAUAGUCAUGAGUUAUGUGUCCUGUCAAGUGUUUGCAUCCUCCAUUUAUAGACUCCUUGAAUGAGUGAUUUCAAAGCAGCAAGGGACUGAUCAAGGAGUUUCUCUGGAAACUUGCUGAAGGUGCUUACAACUUGAUGAUCGACUUGCAGCAGUAGCAUAAGCUGGUUUUGUUCUUCUGAAUAGGACUAUGCUCGAUGCUAACCCCAG